rnacentral:lncRNA from 1 species
AAAAUUUUAUCUGGGAGGGUUUUCUGUGGGAUAGUGCAGGGGAAAAACAUGUGAGGAGUGUGUGUUGUGUGUAAGAAAAAAAAAGGGAGGAAUGGAGGAGAAAGAGAUAGGGGAUGGGGGGUUUUCCCCCACUUUUUUGAGAGAUGGUUACUUAAGAAGGGAUUUUUGGGAAAUUUGUUUGGGAGGUUUUUGGUGGAUUAUGAGAGGAAAAACAUGUGAGGAGUGUGUGUUGUGUGUGUUAAAAUAGGAAAAAAAAGGGAGGAAUGGAGGUAAAGGGAGAUAGGAGGAGCAGAGGAGGAGGGGGGGGUGGGUUUCCUCACUUUUCUUGAGAUGGUUAAGAAGGGAUUUUUGGGAAAUAAUUGGUGAGGGUAUAUUCAAUAUUGUGUUGUCAAUGAGGGGGGGAAACAUGUGAGUAGUGUGUGUUGUGUGUGUAAAAAUGGGAUGAAUGGAGGGAGGGGUGGAGGGAGUAGAGGAAAGGGAGUGGAAGAAUGGAGAAAGGUGAAGCAAUGGAUGGAGAGAACAGAAGGGAUGUUGGUGGGGUUUUGGACUGGAAGAGAGUACCAGUGAUUGAGAGUCUUGUGAGGUUGGGAGGAGACUUUUCUUUCUGAGUAUUUUGGGAGGGACUGAUGAAAAGAGAGAAGCUUAACUUUGACUAUUUCGAGAGGAGUCCGUGCCGCAGUUGAGUGCUGAUGUUGGGUUGAAUGCGGAGUCAAGGAACGACCGAACGAGUGAGGAAAGUGAGGUGUGAACUGUAAUUGUGGGGGCUGUGUACAUACUCUGUUCGAGUACGCGCCACAAUGGGCAGACCCGCCAAGAGUAUGUGUAAAUGUAACCCUACAAGAUUAGCGGCUAAUUCCACUUUGUCCGCCUCAACUAAAAGAAUAUACGCUUUGCACCCCUAAUGUAAAGGACAAUAGGAAAUCAUCAUCAAAUAUACCACUAAAAUGUUAAGGAUUUACUAACUUUUAGAUAAAACCGUUUUUACAAUUUAGAUAUGAAAAUUAGUCUCUAAAUGAUAUUUGAAGACGUUGUAUAGGAAUAAAAAUUAAAUACUAGACAUAUUCAAGAUGAUAAACAAAUAUAUUGGACUUAUGUUAUGUGUUCAUUGUAUUCUACAUAACAUUUCCUGUUUUCAUAUUUUUUUAACAAUACUUAAAAGUUGCUAAAAAAUGUGUUUUGUACAAUAUUGUUACAAUUGAUCAUGACCUAGGUAGAACAAUGCCUAAGAGACCAUAACCAAUUCCACAAUUUCGAAUCAUAGCAAAGAGUGCAAGAUAGCUCUUUGAACAAUUUUUUUUAGGGUUAAAUGCAAAAAAUCACCACAAACUAUAUAACUAGUUGCAGUUUACCCCCUAAACUAUAAUAAUAGGUAUUUUGCCCCCUUGAAUGAUAUGUUUGGACAACACUACCCCUACUAUCUUAAAUUUUUUCUUUUUUUCUCUAUUAGCUUUUUUCAUUUCUUUUCUUUUGUCCCUUUUCUUUUUCCUUUUAUUUUCUUCUUUUUCUCCUUCUCUCAUGGAACUAACCAAUGUUUCCCUCCCGUGCGAAAAGACUUACAUAAAAAAUUUUAAUAUUUUUUAAACUGCUUUUUUAAUUUGCUUAUUUGUUAAAUUCAUUCUUAAUAAUUUGUCAUAAACUCUUUGUUAUUACAAAAUAUAUGUAGUGUAUAUUGUAAAGUGUAUUAAUCUAGUAAUUCAACAAUUUAACUACCUAUAAACCAAUUAAGAGUUCACAAUUACUCAACUACUUAUAAUAAAAAUAACAUAUUAUAUAUCACAUAAAAAAGAAAAGUUAAGAAUUGUUAUUUGUAGUGAAACAAAAAGAUAAGAAUAAACAGCAAUAGUAGUUUUUUUUGUUAUUGAUACUACUAAUAAUUGAUUAAUCAAUAUCUCUAUUUUGUUAUUAUAUAUUUGAAUAGUUCAAUUUCUUAAAUGACAUUGACUUCAAUAUUUGGAAAAAAAAAUCUUGUAUUGCAUAGAAUUUUUUUAUAAAAAUAUUGACAUACAGAAUUAAGAAAUAAACAAAUUUUGACUAAUCUAAUAUGCUUAUUUAAACAAUGCUUAAAGAAAAAAAAAGGAAGAAUUUAAAAAGAAAAUGAUAGGGAAAAAAGAAAAAUAACAAUGCUUAAAAUAAAAGGAGUAGUUGGUCCAAUAAUAUCAUGAAAGGGGACAAAGUGCCUAUAAACAUAGUUUUGGGGAUAAAUUGCAACAAGGUAUAUAGUUCAUUGGGGGUUUUUUGCAUUUAACCCUUUUUUUAAUAUAAGUAGAAGAACUCAAACCUAGAAUCUGUCGUUUACACUCGCAUCUCCUGUACCAUCCAACCUAUCCCUCUCUCCCUAAUAAUCAUGUUGUUUUUUCUGUUAGUUGCCUUCUUGUAGCACCUGAGGGAUUUUGAUUAGUUACCACCUUGUAGGUCUAUUAUUGCCUAUGUUUCACUAAAAUGUGGACAAUUUACUCAUCGUAUUGAUUUUCUUAAUGGUGUUGACAAACUCGCAAAGCAUGUAUUCAUUUAGUUCUUUAUUUUUUUGUCAAUUGUUACCGUUUACUCUAUUCUUAUUACUACUACUACUACUCCUACUUUAAUCUAUUCUAAGAGGAGACCCAAUUAGGUCAAUUAAGGAAUCAACGGGUACUGAACUACCAUCGGACCAAACAUGUGUACAACAUACAUAUAUAGAUUUGUGAAAACCACAUAUACUGGCAAAGCAAUAGGAGGCAAGAUUGUCACACCCCAUUUUUUUAAAUAAAAAAGGUUUAAUGAAAAAAUGUGUUUUUUUAUUUUUAAAAUGAAGAAUAGGGCCAAAAAUGGAACUUUUAAAAAUGUGACAGUUUGGGCCCAAAAAAUAAUCUAAAAAUGGAUUUUUAAAACAAAAGAAGUCGCCACUUGGUAUUAACUUUAAAUGUACUAAAUCACCAAAAUUUUUUUUUAAAAAUACAAUAAAUCCCAUUUUUUAGACUACUCCAAAUCUUUAAAAAUGAAAAAAAAAAGUUUUGAGAGUCACAAUUAAAGAAAGAGAAGACAAAAGUUCAAUCGGUUCAAACCUAAUGCACCUUUUUAACCUAACCUAAGUUGGUUGUGAGGUUUAGUCAGAAUUUUCCUAAUCUAACUAUUAAACUUAUCACAGUUGAAUGUUUGGAUAUGAAUGUAAAACCUAAACCAAAAGGGGAUAUCGGGAGGGAUGAAAUGUCCCUUCAGGGCUUAGUUGGUACCAAUCCCAUUAUUUGUGAGAUCCAAAAAUAAUGUCUUGAAGGGGUAACGAGUAUGCGAAAAUGAGAUUCAAAGAAAUAAAAUUUAUAACGUAUAUAUACAAGUAUACAUGAUCAAAGAGAGGAUAAUGCAACAUAACAGAUAUGGGAGAUGAAAACUCGUGAUACAAUUUUCCUUCUUAUAGAAGGAUAAUAGCGUACUAGUUGGUGAAUUUUUCAGGUUAUAUCUUUUGUGUUUCUGCAAUUCGUUAGUCUUGUGAAAGUUUUAGGAUCAUACGUUGCCGUUUAGAACCGCUAAGGAUUGUUUUUGCUCAUGAGUUUCUUGUUUGUUCAUCGCGCCUUGAAUUUUCUACUUGUCGUUAGUUUAUUCUUUUGCAAUCUGUCCGUGUUAAUUUUUCUGUUGUUUUCAUUGUGUUUAAGUCUAGAUUUUGGUGUUAAAUUGUGUUGGUUGUUAGUGUUUUAUUCCAGAAAAUUCAACAAGAAAAAUUCCAGCGGUAGGGUUUCUUAGUGUUCAUCGUGUCUUUGCCUUGUUUCUAGUUGGUUUUUUAAACAAUCUGUCCGAAAUUUCCGGCCAUUAUUUUUCUUUUUUUGUCCAGAUUAUAUCGUUAAUUCUCGUUGUUAAUUCACGUCCCUUUGGUAAAACGCCCCAGCGAAAUUCUGCAACUUUCCAGCAGCUAGGUGUCUAUCUAGCUGUGACCAAAACAAGGGUUUCGCGUUCUUGAAUCUGUCCGCAAUAGUUGUUGUUGAUUGCAUGCGUUCUUGUUUCCAGCACUUGUAUGACUUUGUAUCGUGAUUUCAUGAAAGUUUGUGUCAAGAAAAAUGAUAUACAAUCAUUAGUUUUUGCAACAAACUUCUAGUCGUGAUUUUGUUUAAAGAAUCGAAGUCGUUGUUUAGGGUUCUUGUUAGAGUUUGGUUGUGAUUCGGGAAUUUGCAUCGAAAAUUGGACUGACCUUGCAUAAUUCUUGAGUUUUUGAAUUGAAGUACCAAAUUUCUUGAAGUUCUUGAUUGUUUGAAACACAAUCUUGAAGUUCUUGAAGCAACAAACUCGAAUCUUGAAGCUUCGUCCCACCUAAAACUGUCCUUGUUUAAAAUCGCGAGAUUGUGAGCUGUUUGGGGGGAAAAUUUAACAAACUUCUGUUGUUUCUUGAUUCUGGAAAUAUCUUGUACAUUCUUGUGUGAAAUUCCAGAAAUUUUCUGGGUUUUUGGGAGCCAAAAGCUGAUUAUACCAAACCUGCAAAUUUUCCAGCAGCUAAGCCUUGCGUUCUUGAGUUCUUGACUGGUUUAAUCUUAACCAGAAUUUCAGCCACGAAAUUUUUGUUGUUACAACCACAAAACUUGAACCAUUAGACACCAGAAAUCACACCCAAAUUGGUGUUUUGAUUUGAGGGUGACACUGCAGCUGAACAAUAAAACAACAAAACAGCAGCAACUACAACCCAAAUCCCUUUCGGAUUACAAGUCCUGAAUCCGACAGCCUUUAUUCCAACAUCAUUUUGGGAAACUUGUGAAGCCAGCUGUUAAAUCCUUGAACCAGUGGGAAAAGGGGAUCGAACCAGACUUAUUUCAAGAUAUAAUAGUCCAAAAAAAAAAUUCCAGAUUGCAACAAUCAGUCACGAACAAGUCCAGAAAUUAGAGUCGAGUCACCAAGUUCCAAAUUGUCUUGCAUCGAGUUUUUAGUUUUUCCUUGUGUCGUUAUUUUAGUCCUUUUUUUUCCAGUAGCGUCUAGCCAAAUUCUUCAUUCUUAGAACCCAGAAAAUCACAUCUAAUUCUCAGUUCAUUUAGGUCCUAAGGCUCGGACAAAAUUCCAGAAUUUCUGUCAAAAGUCGAAGUUCCAGCCUUGUUGCAGUCGUGUCACAUCUUUACUAGAACAUUGAGUCGAGUUCAUUUCCAGUUUCUUGUGUCAUCAUUUUGUUACAUAUUCCAGUAGUUUUAGCUAUAGGUUUCAUCCAUAGAGCACCGCAUAAAGUCUACAAUUCCCAGCUCGUUAGGUCAUAAUUUCUUCUAGAAAUUUCCAGAUUUUCGAAGUGCCCAAAAAAUUCCAGAUUUGAAGUGUCAUUCUUACUAGUCUUGAUUCGCAACUUUACUGGUUGUUUGCAUCAUUAAUUAGCAGUUAAUUCUAAUUUUCAUCCUCAAAUACGUCUUCAAAGUUCCAGUUUGUGUUGUGCAAAAAAAUUCCCAAUUUUGAAUCAUCGUUAGAACUAGUUUGUCGAAUCACUUCCACUAGUUUAAAGUUGUUACUUCCAACUUUAUUCUAGUAAAUUUCCAGCCUCAUUAUUGUGCCAAAAGUUGAGUUUUCAUCCCAAGUUUCCUGAAAUUUGUGUCAUUUCUUCGAUUCACCAACUACAAUCAUUAGUUGGCUAUACCACAGAACUUGAUGGUAGAGCUUGAAUUAGAACAUUUUGAGGGCGAUUCUUACCUAUUCAAAGGAGGCAACCAAGAUGCCAUUUGAGAGCUUCGGUGAGAUUAUUAGAGGGAAAUUUGAGUGUAAACAUGAGUAUUGAGUGCAUACAUGUGAGGGAGUGAAGUGUGGACAAACUUUUGUUACUAACUUGUUUUUGCAGAUUAUCAAGAUUGGAGGAGCUUAGAUGAAGUUUUAGAUGCCAUGAGGGUAGAAUUUGAUCAGGUUUUAGAUGAUAUAUUUAGACCUCUUCAUAGAUGAAUUGAUCGAAUAGAGAAGACGGAUGCCAAGAGGAAGGGUUCCCUGCAAUCUACCCCUUCAAAGUCAACAUAUUCCAGAAGAAAGGAGGAGGUUCAUUCAAAGACUUUCAAUCCUAAUCAUGUAGUUGAAGAAGGAUUUGAUCGAGUAUGGAAGUUUUAUGUGAAGAAACUAGUUGACUGCAUCCUCAAGGAUCAUCUAAGGAUCUUACCGCACCAUUGGUUAAGAACGAUACUAUUGUUUUGCAUCCAAGCUUUCAUCAUGAACCAGUUGUGUCUGAAAUUCCAUCUAAACUAGUUACUAGUCAAGAGCUAGUUGGAGAGACAUUGUGUGAGAUGCAAAAUGAGAUUGUGAGGUAUGAGGUAUGAGGUAUGAGGUAAGAUUCGAGAAGAGCAUGAAAGAAAAAGAGAGUGAACUAGAGCUAGAAUUGAGUGAGAGUGAGUCAUUUAUUGCAAAAUCAAAGAGCUCACUUGAGAAUGAGAGAUUUGUUGUACAAAAUGAGGAAAAACAAGAGUGGUUAGGAAUAAUCAAAAGUGAGGAGAAAGACUUGUUUUCUACUAACCCUUUUCAUGUCUGUUUGCCUAGUGUUUUUGUUGAGCUAACGCAGGUUCAAAGGGUGAUGACAAGUCGCACAUGUAAGUCUCAACAAGUGGUGAUCGAAGUUGCCCAAGGUAUAAAUGAUUUGAGCUCCUAGCGAAGGAAAUGUGAGUUGGAACGUGCAUAUUGGUUCAUGAUCAAGUUGAGUAGAAGGCAUGUUUCUUGGCUCGCGUUCAUCAAGACAUUCUCCGAUGUGCUCUAUUGUAAGCAUUGCUUCAAUUUGAGGACAAAUCUCUUUCAAGAGGAGGGGACUGAUGUGAGCACGGAGAUCUCAAGUGUCAAGUUACUUACUAAUUAAAGAGGCUACUCAACAUUGUUUGGAAGAAAGAGAUUAAGGACCGAAUUUUCCAAUUCAAGUUUCAUUAAUUUUGUUUCUAAUUAUAGCCAAAUAUAGCUUAGUCCACAGUUAAUCAUUAUUUGGGCCAAAUUGAUAGUUAAUAAAAUGGUCCAGCUCUUAAGUUUAGAGCCGUUCCUUUAGUUAGGGUUAUGGGUCGGGUUUCAAGAUCCAUUAGUUGUGUUAAGGAAUUAUGGUGUAAGACACAUAAAAACAUCAUUUUUCUCUUGAAUAAUUAGAUUACUAGAAUACGAUUUUUGUGAACAUCAUGCUUGAGAGAAUUCCUCUCUUUGACUCUAUGAGCUUUCCUUGAAUAUCUAGAGUCGUCUAGUGUUCAAUUUCGGCAUAUCAAUCAAGAAUAACAUCCUUGAUUGUGGCGCUAUCUGACAAAUUCCAAGAGUUCGAUAAUUCGUUUGAUUGUGGGUCAAGAAGGGUCGCAAUCAUGGGAAUUAGAGAGGUCCGGAGUACGAAAUUCCACACAAUUCAAACCUGUGAAUAUCACCAUCGGUCCGAGAUUCAUCGUCAUGAUUCUCAUCAUCAACGGGAUUCACAUCAAUACUAAAUUCACCCUAUUAUGCCAAAAAAUGUAAAUAAAUUUAAAACACCUAAAAUUUAUAAACUAAAUGCAUUUAAGUGAACCAUAAUUAGUAAUUAGACAAAGGAAAAACAAUUAUAAUUGAGAAAUCAAAAAACUAAUAGAGACUAAUUUGUAAAAAUAAAAAGUAUUGAGGUCAAAACAUAAUUUUUGAAAAGAUUAGAGGUCAAAAUUAAAUAAAGACAAAGUUUAAGGAUCAAAAUGCAAAAAAAAUAGGACCUAAAUGAAAGAAAUCUAAAAUUUUUACAUUAUACUAAAAUUACUCAAAAGUUAGGGGUCACAUAGCAAAAAUAUUUUCUUUUUAUAAGAAGAUCUAAAGAAACAAUUUUGGGUCACUCUUAGUAUUUGGGCCAUAGAUACUUUGGCUCGAAAUAAAAUAUGCAAACCAUUUUAUUAAAAGAACAAUUAAACCCAAUUAAAACUACACAAAUUUAAAUAUAAGAAACACGUUGGGCUUCCAAGCAAAAAAUAAAGAACUAGCCCAUCCCCUUUUUUUUCUUCCUUCUUUCUCUUCUUUUCUUCUUUGCCUCUCUUUCCUUCUUCCUCUCUGGCCAGACCAAGCUCUGGCAGCUGGCGGCUAUGGUAGACGCCGGUGUGGCGCCGUUGCUAGACUGCCGUCCGUCGCUAAUCGUUGAUGAGCUUUUUCGAUCUUCAAAAUUUACCUUUCUACUCAAUUUUUCACAUGGAAUCUGUUUCUAAACUUAGUUUUAACCAAAAACACACAAAAAGAGGUCAAAAAUCAAAUUUAUAGCCGAGUAUUCCCUUUUUAAAACCCAGCCAAUUCCUGACCGAAAUUCACAAAACCUACCCCAAAACGACCCUUGUGGCUUCUACAAUGCAACUAUGAUCUUAAAUUAACAAAAAAACAACAAACAAUGUGACAGAUUAAAGCAGAACAACCUUUAACUUCAAAAGUUAUUUCAUUGCUUUUGAGGCUCAAAAAAUUUCAAAAAUUUAAACAACAAAUAUUUUCAGGCCAUGAAUUAGCUAUAAUCAUCUAUUUUAACAAAAUAUAUACACAAAAUUUACUUCUUUAAUUCGGUUUUCUAUUUUUUCAAACACUUGGAAUGCACGAUUUUGGCUCACUCAAUUCAUGAAACAUGGGCAGUUUUGAACCCUCAUAUUUUCACCAACAAUCACCAUGGCAACUAGAAGGAACCCAUGUAAAAUCCUCCACUUAAAGCCACAAACAUGAAAAAAACCAAGACACGAAUGGCCAAGAAAAGCUCCAACAGCAAUUUUUGAACUGAAUCCGGGAAUAGCAAGGGAAAAGGAGCUGGAGAACUUCAUCUUGUUUAGCAGUGGAAAGCUGAUAUUGGUAAGAAAUUGUGAGAACUACAACCACAAUUUUGAUGAAAAAAAAUUAACUCACGAAUUUAUCCAUCAAGUUUAAGAGUUGAUUUUUCUUUGUAAUACGGCAUAGAAUCAGAAGUAUUUGAAUGAUUUAUGCUCUAGAUUUCAACAAUCAACUUAAUUUAUGAUGUGCCAGGACUUAGUGAACAUAAAAUGUGGACCAACCUUGUUUGGAUUGCAUUUUCUUGAUUUUUUUUAGAAAAAUUACUGUAGCGAUUUAAUGUAUAUGAAAAAAAAAAAGUAAUAGAAAAAUAUGAUUACGAAAAACGAUGCAAUUUUUGGUUCGGAAAAUGGCUGUCCAAACGGGACCUAAGCAAAUAACAACAGGGAUUCAAAAUGGCCACCUUGAAGUUCUGCUAAUAUCCACCGAAACGUGAAGAGGGCUCUAGGUUUUUUCCUUUUAGGACCGUUACAUUUCUUAGUAAAACAAAAGGAAAGGAAAAACACUUGCAUGAUUUAAAAAAAAAAAAACUCAAAAAACUCACAUGAUUAUCCCUAUUUUUGGAUUUUGUGAUAACAAUCAACAUAUUCAUUAACAAAGGCCAAUUUAAUGGUAAUGACAGACAAAAACUUUUGACAAUCAUUUCUAAUGUUUCCAGACCUGGAUUAGGUUAUAACUUUCAGCUACACUCUUAAUCAAAAGAUCAUCUAGUAAUUCUCCAAUAUAUCUUAAGCUUCAAAAAUUCUACAACAUGAUGCUCAAAAUCAACAUAACCGAGAUAGUAGUCUAUUAAGUUCACGUGAUAAAAGACUUAAAGAUCUAAACAAUCAUUAGCUUACGACUUACUUUAGAUUGAGGAAGUUGUUUGACUAUCUGCAAUUUUCCUCCUAGUAGCCGGCCAAUCCAAAUAAACCCAGCUUAUUUUCUCUUCAAGAAGUGUAUAUGUAAAAUCUACUCUUAGUAGAUUGACAAAUGAAAUGGAAUUUAUAAGUGUGAUGUUAUUUUUUCCUCUCUUAUCUCUUUCUAAUUUCCCGCCCAUUAAGUGUUUUACUUUUACUCUCAUUUUUUUUCUCUAGAGAAGAAAUGGAAGAGAAACUUGAAUUUGUUCUCUUACUUCUAAGACAGAUGAUGUGAAAGUAUUGAAUGAUGUUAACCAUGGUUAAACGGAGCUGCAAGUUUGUGAGUUUUUAAUCUCGUAUAUAGAUGGGAUAAUAUCAUAAACCUCCCUUGAGAUUUCUCCUAAUAUCAUUUGACACCUCUGAAGUUUUUGAAAUAUCACUUACCUCCCCUAAUAAUUGUAAAAAGAUUAUAUUAACUCUCACUUAACACAUAAUUCACAUAUCAAAUAAAUGAAACUCAAAAAUUAUAAAUAAUAAACGAAAGUCAUUUUCUUCUCUUUCCCUUUUUCUCAUCAUUUUCUCGUACUCAUUUUUUUGGAUGAUUAUGCCAUAUUUUAUUUGUAAAUUAUAAUAAAUUAAAUUUUGUUUAUCUAUUAUUUUUUGUGAUUGUGAUAAAGUGAGGUAUGAUUUAUUUACUUAUUUUGAGUUGGUUUUUAUAAUAAUUGGUUCAAUUUAAUAGUUUGGAUAAGGGUUGAGAAGAUGUUGAAAAAAAAAAUAUAAAGUUCAUAAGAAAUCGGUUUUGAGCAUAUAGAGUCAAAUCGGUGCAAGUGUAUUUCUUUUCAAAUUUUUUUUAUUUUUUAAAUGUAUAUUUUUAUAAGGUAUAGCAUUAUGAUGUGGUAGUAUUACAAUAUAUUAUUUUUUUAGAUGAUGAUUUUCUUGAAAUGAACAAAAUGGUUUAGAAAUAUUUCAUUUAGCAAGUGAAAGAGUGGUUUAGGAAUUUUAAAAAUUUUGUUACACAAAUAAUAAAAAUAAGAAAAGCAAGUGAUAUUUUUAAAACUUUAAAGGUGCCAGGUGAUAUUAAGAGAAACCUCCCAUGAGGUUUCUGAUAUUAUCCCUAUUUAUAUUAAUGACAUAACAAAUUCUGAAACUCUUAGUCUACAAGUAGGGCCAUAGACCGGGUUGACCGAAGUUGUUGCCUGUAUAUGCACACGUAUGUGCAUGCAUACCGAGCACUCUCUGCACUUAACUGUCACACUUAUCUCAACACCUCAACACACUAGCACUCUUAACUGCACAAACAAACCGAUGGCUUAACUCCAAACUUGGCACUCUCUCGCAACGCGUGAGGCAAAAAUAAACUAGUCGUAGUAUAAAAGAGUGAAUAGUGUUAUGAAUGGUCACAUUAGCAUUGUAAUUCAAUUAUUUGUACGAGAAAAAUGCAUUACCAGCUAUUACCAUCAGAUGCAUUUCCAUUACCUUGGUUCUUGGACUGCAAUUCUGCUCGUCCUUGGUCCCUUAUUGGCACCUUGAGUGUGUGGGUGGUUUUGUAACUUUGGACCCAUAGGUGCCGUGUCGUUAUUGUGUGUUGCUUCACAAAUUUGUGGCUGACAUUUGCUAUUGGGUUGUGUUUUGACAAUGGUGCCCCUGUAUACCGAUUUUACCCAUGGUUUAGUAACUUCAUCUAUUUGAGAAUCAUUGGCUUUUUUUUGUCUUUUAGGAUAGUUUAAUUAGGAUGAGAAUAAAAAUUUGCAUUUGAAAAAUUUAACGGUGCAAGCAAUAGUGGGUUCUGACUUUUUACCCUUUGCAUUGCAUCUGAUGAUAUGGAGAAGUCCCGGUUGGUUGUAUGAAUUUGAGUGGCUAAUUUUGCAGCUGAUGGUCUCUGCAAUUGUCAUUCAGUGGUUUAGUAUUGCGUGGCUAAUUUUGGUCCUUCAGAUGAUGUAUUUAGCUGCAUUAAAGGCUUUCAAAUGAUCUAUUUAGUUGCAUUAGAGGUCGACAAUGCAGGUUUAAAAGAGAGCUGGCUUUAGAAUUUUGGCUUUGUGUUCGUCAUAGUGCAGACAGAAAAGUUUAUUUUUGUUUUCAUUCUGCUGUUUGAAGUUCAGUUGUCUUUUGUGAGUAUUGUAUAAACUUGUUUCUCUCAUUGAUGAAUCCUCUGUUGUUCUUAUUUUUUCUAAGUACUCUGGUUAGGAUUCUUCAUUUUGUUGUGAUCAUUUUUAUAUCACAUAUAGCUACAAUUUGUAUUUGGUGUUUGGUUGCCUAACUAUGAUUUUAAUAUUUGGUUCUGUAAAUGUUUAUAAGAAUAUAAUGCCUAUGCUAAAUAGGGGUGAUAUCGAGUCGAGUUGAGUCGUGCUCGAGUAUCACUAUACUCGAACUCAAACUCAAUACCUAGCAAUACUACUCAAACUCAAUACCCAAUAGCACUACUUGAACUCGAGCGAGUUGUUUGAACAAAGCUCAAACUUGACUCAACGUAAUAUUAAUAAGGUUGGAACUCGACUCGAUAGAGCUCGAGAAGUUGGCAAGCUCGAGUAAUCGAGCUCGACAAACGAUUAGGGUAGUAAAUAUUGCAAAUAAUCAACCUAAAAAAUAAUUUUAUUAUUUAUAAUAUAUUAAUUAAAUAUUACACCUAGUACUCGAUAGAGCUCGACGAGCUCUCGAGAAUAUGAUAUACAUACUCGAGCUUGACUUGAAACCUCAAUUGAGUAGCUUGAGGUCAACUCGAACUUGGCAUUGAGUGAGAUCAAAUUAAGCAGUUGACCGAGUUACUCGCAAGUUCGAGUCAAGCUGCUCGAUUGAAUUGUACCCCUAAUGCUAUGUAUCUUUUUAUUAUUUGGUUCUUUGAAUAUUUAUAAAAGAGUGAAAAAUCUAAGCAUGAAACAAUUCCUUAAGUGACUGGUAGCCAGGUCGAAUAACAGAUGCAUUUGGAACCACUGGCCCUGUUACUUACACUUCACAUGAAUCCACUCCACCAACAGCAGAGCAGACCAAAGAGCCAAUGAACAAAUCCCCAGUCACCAAGAACACUAAGAGAAAGCCAUCUGCAAACAAGAAUAUAAAAAGCAUAGCUUAUUCUUCUGUAUCUCAUAUAGGUUUCUUAAUGAUAGGGAUUGGUUCUAUAACUGAUACUAGACUCAAUGGAGCUCUUUUACAGACAAUCUCUCAUAUGGAUUUAUUGGUGCUGCAGUUUUUUUCCUUGGCAGAUACGAUUUAUGAUAGAAUACGUCUUGUUUACCUUGACGAAAUGGGCGGAAUAGCUAUCCUAAUGCCAAAAAUAUUCACAAUAUUUAGCACCUUUUCCAUGGGAUCCCUUGCAUUAUCAGGUAUGAGUGGUUAAGUUGCCGAAUUGAUAGUAUUUUGUGGAAUAAUUACCAGCCAAAAAUGUCUUUUAAUGCCAAAAAUACUAUUUACAAAAUGCAAGCCAAGAAUCCAAAGGUCAAGUAAGCACACAAUAAACCAACUUCAUCAAUAUAAAUAGAAUCUUUUGUGUCACGAAUCUAUGUAGCACUGACUUUUGACAAGACUACCAACAUCAGAGCUGUAAUACAAACCUUACAAAUGCACAUAUAGAUCACUACUCAUGUCCAACUAAGGACAUACUAGCUGCAACUUUAGACGAAGUAGAUAUGCUGGCAAUGUAAAUACUAUUUUUGUUAUUGCUAGCAGGUAAGACUAUAUGAUAGCAAUGUAAAUACUACCUUUGUUAAUGCCAACAACUUAUAAAUACAGUACUAUUUCUAUUAAAACUAAUACCAUAAAUCAAUGUCCAAACUACAUAUUGAAUAGUAUAAAUACAAUUUAUGAAUCAUUUUCAACAUAAAUAUCCUACUAAUACAAUUAAUUACUAUAAUAAAAAAAAUCUCAAAAUGGUCAUUGCACCAGCACCAUCCGGGCAAGGUGCGAGGCACAUAUCAACUAGUUUAAAUAAGAUAAUGGAAGUAAUACAUAGAAACCAUCAUUAAUAAAAAGUGGCCCAACCACAUCCAUUGAUAAAAUGGUAUUUUACUCCAAAAGAAAUAUAAAAGAUUAAAAAUCGCUCUAGGUGAGUCGUUAUAUUGUGAGAAUAUUACUUGAGCUUCAUUAUCAAUUCUAUGAAAUACAUUAUUACUUUUCAAGAAAUAACUACAAAAAAACAAGAUGAGAACACCAAUAAGUACUAAAAACUGUAGUACGUACUUGAAUUUGGACAGGAUUUGUCAUAUUAGUUUUAGGAUUGAGAAAUGAAAAUAAAAUUCAAAAUGGUGAAUGGCACCACAUGGAAAGAGAUAAUACUUUGGUUAAUAGUUUUUCUUUGACAUGUUGAGUUAUAAGCUACUAGGCAUAUUAGAACGAAGGUCAUUCUUAUAUUUAUUGUUGUUGGAAACAAAAAUUCAUUUGAACGGUUUAGAACUCAUUUAAUUAAUAAAUACAAGUUCCAAUACACAAGUUUGUCAAUAAUUCAUGUUAUGGUCAAGAAACCAGAAGGUACGUGUAGAAUGGCAUCUUAAGCCAAAGAGUAAAAGCAAGUAAAUUCACAUAACCAACAAUUAGAAUUACACCUAAUGAAGUUUGUAGAAGGGAUAAGCUAGUGUAGCAGCUCCAUUGGCUUUUUUUUUUUUUUUUGGUCGAUACGAUAGAAUCCUAUAACCUAAGCUAACCUAUUCUAGGGGGAGGGGAGGAAACUCGACGUGAGUAGAAACUCCAUCGAAAUUGGUCAAUGAAUACCGUUACAUAUUGUGACAAUUUUUGUGGGAGGUAAGGUUCGAAUUCUUGACCUCCCGCACCACCAAACCUAAGAAGGCUUGGGAUGACCACUGGGCCAGUGGCAGCAGCUCCAUUGGCUACCGUGUGGCAUUCUCGAUAAAAAGGCAUUCUAGCUUCUUUUGUGUACAAACCCUAGGCAUCUUUUGUUGGUCAUAAAAGCGACAGCCUUCAGAUCUUCUAUUGCUUCUGUUCUUUUAUGUGUUUGUUGGGAUUUUUGGGCUACGUUAUGUUGCCGUGCUGCUCAUCCAAACCUAAUCCAUUAGCUUAAUUAUACAUAAGAGCCGCUAAUAAGAAGUGAACUAACUUCACCUCUUGGAAGUAACUUAGCUAAACUUAUAUGCUUGGGUGUGAGUGUGCACGAAUACGUACAUACAUACAUAUUGCAUGUCCUGUUGUAUUACAACUCCCAAAUUUUUUCUUGGACUAACAACACUUUGCCCCCCUUAAAUCUAUGGGAUGGUAAUACUUUACCGUUCUAUACUUCAAAAAUAUACAUUUUGUUCCCUCUCCCCUCUCCCCAAAUGAAUUAUGUUUUGUACUUCUAAUUUAGACCAACCCAUGUGCAUAUUUUUCUUCCCAAAUUAUCCCCACGCUUCCUAAUUUCUCAAUUGUUAACUUUUAUAUUGUUGUAUUUUCUUGUUAUGUAUUCACCAUAAUAUUCCGUUGUUGCAUGCUAUGAUAUUAAAUUAUAGUAUAAAUUAAAUACGAAAACUCUCCCAACUAUCGCCUUAUUUGCACCUUUUUCACUACCCAGUGGGUGCUCCCAUUGUGACUAUUAUCAUUUUUUAUUUGACGUAAUUUUUAAAAAUAUGUAUAACACUAAUAACAGUCACAAUUAUCAGUCUUUUGAAUAUUUAGUCCAAAAUAACAAUAGCAAUUAUCAUUCAUUUUUUCACAUUUGAUACUAUGCAAAAUCUAAAUCAACAUACAUGGACUUUUUUACAAACAAUAUGCAACAUGCGACAAAUAAAAAGUCCAGCAAAUUGACAUAAAAAAAAAUCAUACUUUUACUACAAACAUAAAAAAUUACCAUGAAAGGGUACAUUAUUUUAUCACAACAAAAUACCAUUUUAUUAAUUUUAAAUUACGAUACACACACACAUAUACAUACAUACAUACAUAUUAGUAUUAUAAUACAUUAUAUAUCAUGUGGGAGCAAGGGGCAGGUGGAGUCCUAUUUAAACCGAUGCUAGAUUAUACAUAAGUCUACAUAGUAAGUUAAUUAAAUUGCUCUCCAUCAUCACAUUAUGUAGUAGCAGAAUAAUUUGAUGAAUAUAUAAUAAGAAAAUGCAACAAACUAAAAGUUGACUAUCGAGAAAAUAGGAAGACUGGGGUAAAUUUGAGAAGAAAAAUGUGCACAUGGGUUUGUCAAAAUGAAAAGACAAACAUAAUUCACUUGGGAAACGGGGAUAGGGGGCAAAAUGUAUAUUUUUGAAAUUCAGGGUGGUAAAGUGCUACCACUCCAUGGUUUUUUUUUUUUUUGGGGGGGGGGGGGGGGGGGGAAGUGUUGUUAACCCUUUUUCUUUAUACUCUUCCCAUAAUGAUAAAUUAUGAUUGGUGUGAUCUACCUGCAUUCUAUUGCAAUGGCACAAAAAAAAAAAAGAAGAAGGGUACCUUUUGUAGUAUCGCUAACCAACAAUUAAUUUCCCAUGAAAAUUCUAAAAAUGAAAAAAAAAGAAAGCUAUAGCUUCUAAAUAAGAUUCUCAGUUUCAUAAGGCAUUUGGAGUUGAGUGACAAGUAAAUCUACCAACAUCUUCCGUAAUCACCUUUCUUAUCAAUCCUUAGAUGAAUAUAUUUUAUUCAAACGCUUAAUUUCCAUACACAAAGCACUGAAAUUCCCCCCCCCCCCCUACCACCAAACCAAAAAAAAAAUAAAAAAUCAGGCCUCAACUAAUUGAAUGUGUGGAUUGAUCUCGGUGCAUUUUCCCUUCCACAACAGUUAUUUUCAGGUUCAAAAUUCUAAUUGCAUGUCCAAAUGGGUUUUGGUGCAUUUCUUCUUGAUUUUCCCAUGCAACAGUUAUUUUUCCAUAUAGAAUAUCGAGAAUGAAAUCAACACAUCUAGAUCGGCCAAAGCUGUGCAAAAUUAUACUCGUCUUUUCACAAUGUCAAUUAGUGUGUAAUUAUAAACCACGAGCCUUUGAGUUGAUGACCAUCACCAAAGCAAUAAAACUUAAGGUUGAGAGACAACGGUUCAAAACUUGCCUCUUACCAAUUUGGUCAUCAAAGCAUUAAAACUUAAGGUAGAGAGACAACGGUUCAAAACUUGCCUUUCACCAAUUGCCACAUUAAAAGGCAUUAAAACUUAUGGUUGAGAGGCAACGGUUCAAAACUUGUCUCUCACCAAUUGCCACAUUAAAAGUGAUUUUGCUGAAAAAGUCCGAUCAUGGUUCAAUCCCCUUCGAAUUAUCCCUAGACCUCCUUAGGUCCGUCCCCUCGUCCUAAUAUGGGAUAGAUUAAAUUAUACAACAAUUAUCGUCUCAGAAAAAAAAAAUUAGUGUGCAAUUAUAAUUUGUAAUAUUGUAUGAUCACGCAACUUUUGCAAUAAAACAAUUUUCACCUAUUAUUCCAUAAACUUUUUUCUCUUCAUUAUUACCAUUUAUUGGCUUGGUCAUGAAAAUGGCUUUCCAGAGCCAAAAUCGAACUAGGAUCGACUUUACUAUUCUAUUGGUCUUACAAGCUCAAUUUUACCACUGUUAUCCGAUCUGCCACUGCUCAUCAGCUCUUUCAGUUGUUCAUUACUGACAGAAGAUAGAUGACUUCAGGCAAAAAAGCUGCUAAAGUCUAAAAGCUGAUUCCUCAUUUUACUGCAGAUGUUUAUCUUUACAUUGGAUGACUGUCCUACAGGAAAGAAAUGUAGUUAGCCCCAAGAAUCAAAUAUUACAAAAAGAAUGCCAUUUCAGGCGAUGGGAUAAAGGGAAAAAUGCUUUCUCCAAAUAAUUCAAACAAUAACAGGAGAAGACGUCCAGAAUCUAAGUCAUCUUUCCAAGCCUGAUUAAGCAAAGCUGGUGUCCUCAAAAUACGCUUUUCUAACUGAUCUCUUUUUUGUCUUCUCUCUGAGUGACUCUCCCUAAUAUCUUUAGGAGAUGAUCGGCCUGCACUGGAAUCGCCUAAAGCAGCGGGAUCCUUGUCAGUUUCCAUAUCAGAAGAGUUGUUCGAUAAUGGGACCAAGGCACCAUCAUUUCCAAUUUUCUCAGCAGGUGGCUGCUCCUCUAAUAGAUCUGCAGGUGUCCUACGUUUAUCUUCUUAAUUUAAGAAAGAUAAAAGUCAUGAUAAGAACAGAAUUAAGCGCUAUUGUAAGAAAAUGUAGAUAAAAUUGUAGGUAGUGAAGUACAAGUGCUCUAAAUCACAGUUAUCAGUCAAGCAGAGCCAUAAAAUGAAUCAAGAUACAAAGUAAAACAUUAUUUAUUACGGCAAUUCAUGAUUAAAAUGAUACUCUCACUGUGCAGGUUAUUGAUGACUUGUAGCAAAUUUCAAUGAGAAUGCUGGCUACUAAGGAAAUAAAAAGGACACGUUAAAAUCUAAAGUGAAAAACUUUUGGCCUCUCCCUUGAGCAGAAUACAAUUUGGCUUCAAGAUGUAAGGUUAGUCAAACAAAUGGCUGCGCACCUUAUACAAGUAAGAUUUAUGGAGGUCUUCAAACAACAGGAACACUAAACUUGCAAAGCACACGACUCAAACAUACAAAGAGACUUACUGGCUGAACAUGAAUGUAUGAUCCUGAAAUUCGUUUUCCACACAGUGCUUGCAGGAGGUGAUGGCAUGGAUGGAAACAUCUUCAGCCUAUCAUAUAUGCUUUGACCUGCAGCAGACUGGAGAAAGCAACUAUGUAAACUAGCUUUCUCAAGGGUGCUAGAGAAAGCAACACAACUAUUCUAUUGAUACAAACCAGCAACGCCCCAUAAACACGCCAUGCUUCAUGUCUUUUCAUUUCAUUUUUCUGCUUUUCAAGAAGCAUCUCUGGCUCAAGAAGUCUCAGAUAGGUCUCCAGGUUUGGCACGACAAGAAGGCGGACCUAUCAAAAGUUGAGAAGUAUGACCAACUGUGGACUGACCGAAAUUAUAAAACUUAACAUAGAAACCACAAAUAACUUAUAUGGAAGUAUUCAUCUGGUCAUCCUACAUUUUCUUGGGAAAAAUGCAGAAUAGCAGUCCCUCAUUGUCUCCUCAUGUAACCAAGCUAAUCAUUUCUACAUUACGAGGAUGCAGUAACGAACUUCAUGAAUUGUCCUCUGUGUGGUUGGAAUAUAAUAUCUUUCUUCUUAUAUAUGUAUUUCAAUGUAAAACCAGGAUUCAACCCAGUAUAAAGGAGAUGUUGGUAUUAUAAGAAAAACAAAAUAAGCUUCAAAAACAUAUAUAUAUAUAUAUAUCAAAAGCAGAAAAAAAUUUAUACAUGUAUGAAGAAUCUGCAUAUACAAGAUAGAUAUAUGGUAGUGAAAACAAAUCUCCUAGAUUUACCAUACCUAAUUCGAGCCACUAUACUCAAUUUAGAUCUACAAACAGAAUGCCAUCUAUCUUUUAAUUUUGUCUUAAUCAUCCCUCUGAAAACUGUGUUUCCAGAAGGUACAAAACUGUACUAGUUAACACCAUAGACAGUUGAAAUCACACAAUGAAAAACCAUUGGAAGGCUAAAAUGAGUUUUACUUGAACUUAUACAUAGUAAAUUGAAACUUACAGACAUUCAAUUUAAAGAAAGUAAAUCUAGUUCCAGUUAUCCAUAUUUAUGUGAAUACAAUAAAUUGCUGAGACUACAUCAUGACAGGAGAAAAAGGAAAGAACACCCAAGUAAAACAUAUUGAAGAAGAUUGUAUUCAGUUCUAUUGCAUUGAGUUUAGUCUGCCCCAUCCAAAAUUUGAUCUGAUAUCUUGAUGGGUCUACUGAUAGCAGCAACUUCUCAAUAGUUAACUGUUCACCUAACAUGAAUCGUGAAUUAUGUGAACAUGUGAAAACUAAGAACUCUGUCUGAAAUUAAAUUGUCAACCGUGCCAUUGCCAAGGUUUUCGUUGAAAUUUUCCUUGCAAAGAUGAGAAAGCCAGAAGUUGGACAAGCAAAUGUCCCAUUCAGGAUAUGAUGGCUUUCUUGUCAUCUUUUGUUUUUCAUGCAUAUUACAGGAUAAAAAGAUUGGCAUUAAAGUCAUUUUAGUUCAAAAGAAGUUCUUAGUGCACCAAGGUAAAACUAAAUAGUAGACCUUUAUAAGCAAUAGAAUUUCUCUAAGUUUAGUUUAGCAUUAAAGCCAAAAGUUUUGGCUGGGGUUUAAAGAAAAGAGACUUCUUCCAUUAAAGGCUUUGUAUCUAUCCUUCUCCAUAAUACUUCAAUGUCAUAAAUUAGCCAAUUUCUCCGAUGUAUCAUGAAAGUUCAUAGCACAGAGGAAUGAAAUUACUGAAAAAGAAGUAAAGAUGGGGCUAGUAGCAAGAUGGGUAUAAGAAGAGAACUACGAAAGGAAUGUGUUUGUGCAUGAAAAUGAGAAAAAGGAAUACCACAUUGGGUCCAAGUGCAGCUAAUCCUUGAAUAGCACCAUAAUGUUGAGUUAUUGCUCGUUUAGGAUCCAAAAAUGCAUGGAGCAAAGUCUUGGUUAAUCGUGUCUGAAGAUUGUUGUAGACAUGGGAAAACCUGAAAACAUAUGAAUUUAAAGAUUAAAACAUCAACCACACAACGUUUCAAGAGUGGGCUAUUUCCAAUUCACAUAUGGAGGUUUGCUUCAGUUUGUAGAAGGCAAAGGUGACCUAUACUAAUAGCAUUGACAUAAAAUCAGUUACAUUUGUCAACCAAAACUUGUAUAACUAUUGUCAAGGACAUCUUGUCAAUCUCAAAUUUCUUCAAAAAGCUUCAGUCAAUCCAUUCCAUAUUACCUUUUGGUCAUUUAUGAAUUCUGUAUUUUCCAAUGAACACAUGGUCAAUAAUGAUGCUUGUUAGGUUUAAGUCUCCAUGCAGGUUCCAUUAGCCUGGUUAAACUGGAAAUAUCACUUAUAAGCACUGCUCAAAGAGCACAAGGUUCAAAUGUCAUCCAAACACAACUGGAUAAACAUCUAAUGUUUAUUAUCUAGAAGUUUUGAAAAGCAUAUGAAUUCCAAAGCAUUAGAAAGUAGCUAAUAUUUGAAAGCAAUUCAUCCUUCUUUUCAGCUACCAAGACAUAGACCUAGCAAUCUUGAGGUGAUGAAUCUUCUAAACCAUAGAAAGUAAGAUUCCAAUGCAAGGAGUAAGCAUAUUAGAUGUCACCUCAUCACUCAUCAAAUGAAAAAUAGGAAUUCAAUAUGGGUAUUCCUUGCCAAACUCUAACCAUGAUCCUUUCAUGUUGUCACUAGCUAAUUAAAUUAAAAAGUACAUUCCAGAGAAAUCCUCUAGAAAAUCCCUACGAUAUUAAUGUUAUAAGGAAUGCUAACUCAAUCGAAUUAUUAGGGUGCAGAAUUCAAAGAAGUGUUUCCCACCGUUUGCAUAUGGAGGCUACUACAGUCGCAGUAAAAUCUCUAAGUUCCCAGUGGUUAUCUGCAAGUCGAUUCCCCAGCCUCUUGGCAACAAGACAGGUGACAACUGAUGGCAUCAAUUGGUGUAGCUAAUAAAAGAAGCAAAAGUCUCAGUAAAUAGAUAGACAGAUAUCAAAGGGCAUAACAAAUAUCUACAUUAUGUUGAGUUGUAGAAAUGAAUAAUAAUCUAGCAUUAAGUUACUCAAGUUUCCAAAGUAUUUCAGUAGUCCAAGAAUCACAACAAUACCUCUGUGUGUUUUUUGAAAAACCUUACUGAAGAUUUUGUGUUUCAAAGACAUAUUUGGUUGCAGUGUUAUUAGGUUUUUUCAGGUUGUUUUUAAGAACUCUCACCUCCCCUUAACAGCCGCUACCUUCCCCACUAUUUCCACCCUCUUCCCCCCUCCCCCCCCCCCCCCAAAAAAAAAAAAACAGCCCCACUUUUGUCCCCUACCUGCCACCCCCAGUCCCCCACCCAGAGCACCUCCUCCAAUGAAGGAGGGGCACCCCCGCCGGGGGGGGGGGCGCGAAGAGGGGGAAAGGGGCUGCCCAGAUGUGGGGACGGUGGUGGAAGGAGAGGGGUGAGGGCAGGAUGGUAGUGGCAGAAGUUGAAGGGGUGAUAGUGUGGUAGAAUUUUUUUUUGGGUAUUUUUGGAUUUUUUCUGUGCCUUUUGGGAUGUAGCUGUAAAUCUUGUGGGUAAAAACAUGCUUUUCAAAACAUUAGAUCCAAGCAGACUCACUGGUUUCCAGUAGAUAAGAUCUCACUUAUGUGCACUAUUCCUAUGUCCUUUGGUUCCUCUGGCUUUUUGUACCACCUAAAUAUCAGAGUUUUGUUUAAAUCCCUUUCACCCAAGAAAUAGUUUUAUCCAUCAUCUGUCAAAUUCAAAGUCAAGUUUUGAAUCAAUCCAAAGGCAUCACUCUUUCCAGAAGAGAACAUCAUAAUAAACAAAACUAGCAAAUGAAUCAAGUACACUUACGAUGAGAAAAUUAAAUGUUCCCAUCUUUACUGAAACCUGAUUUUAUCAUAAGCAAUCAAUUUGAACACAAGCUUUAAGAAACUAUAUCUGCAAAAACUCACAUAAGGUUCUAUAUGUAUAUGAGGAUUUUGAAGUAGGCUCCAAACAAGACGCAUCAAAGCAAAGAGUAGAGGGAAGUUGCUCAAACCAUGAGAAACCUGACAACAUAGUAGAAUCAGAAAAAAUAAAAUAAAAUAAAAUAAAAAGAGAUGUAAUAGACUUUUCUCAAAGUUAGCUCCACUGAAAGAGCAUGUCAAGAAUACCUCAUCUGCAAUGAAGCAUGUGAAAUAAGGAACCAAAGGAUGAAGCCCAGAGUCUGUUGCCAAACUUGCUAAAGCUUCCUUGAAAAGGACCGAGUCAGACCUACUAACCACAAGCUCAGUGAUUUUAUCAAAAUAUAACUGCAUUAAUUCAGAAGCAAGGUCAAUUACAGAACUUCAAAGUGAGAAAAUAUCAAAAUUGCUUCAUAGAAAACUUUGAUCUACCUGGAGCUCCCUAGACAGGACAUGUUUAACGGGUAACCUUAUGUCAACAGGAAGUCCAUCUUCUUUUUGCUCUGGCAGUUUUGUUUCAGAAGGAGCUCUAAUAACUGCAAAUGAAAAACAUAUAAAUAUCUGCAAGCACUAUCACCGUGGUUGUACAAACUAGAACUUGAAGACUAGAAUUACUUGUAUGCUCCAAAUUAUCAGAGGAAGAGUCACACAAGGUGCCUUUUUCCUUGAUCUCCCCUAGAUUGCCAAUUAAUUGAAAAUCAUUUUUGAAGCUUAGGCAUAUACUUCCAAUGAUACGCUAAAGCGUGGGUCAAACUGAUGCUUAUUAUUGUGAAACACUUGAAUACAGACAAACAUUAGAUGCUUUCAGAUGUAAAGUGCCAUAUGCACAGAAUCAAGUACAACUGCAUCAGAAAAAGCAGUUUGACCAGAGAAAAUGUUAAGAUCAGGAUACUCCAAUUUGUGCCUUGAGUUUUCUGGGUUUUAGACUCUUCCUCUGAUCAUUCAUUAUGUUAGGUCAGCCAAAAGUUGCCUCCACUUCUUGCACCCCAUGGGAAUUGAAUUCCUUGUUAAGGGUACCGGCUGAAAGCACAAUGCUUUGAUACAAUGGCUGCAGCAUAUCUUCCUCUGCCUUAGCUAAGUCACAAAUAUCUGGUCAGACAUUUAUGUUUCCUAAAGGAGGUUUUAACCAGAGAUGCAGUUCUAGCUAAAGAGAAACAUAUGGCUUAUGUAGUCCUUAUUAGCAUCAACCUUUACAUGGACUAUACAGUUUCUCUGACCCAUAAUAAUGUAAAAAGUGUAAAUAUAGAAAAAGAAAAAACUAUUGCAAUAUAAGCCAGACCUUCUACUGGAGCAUUUUCUGAAAUAGCAGGUUUUAACCAGAGAUGCAGUUCUAGCUAAAGAGAAACAUAUGGCUUAUGUAGUCCUUAUUAGCAUCAACCUUUACAUGGACUAAACAGUUUCUCUAACCCAUAAUAAUGUAAAAGUGUAAAUAUAGAAAAAGAAAAAACUAUUGCAAUAUAAGGCAGAGACCUUCUACUGGAGCAUUUUCUGGAAUAGCAGGUUGUACACCUUCAAUAGCGAGCCAGUGACAAACUACAGAACAAUCCAAGGGUGCUUUUGGUAAAGGAGCUUCAAUUACCUAGAUGCAAGUAAUAUACAGUUUAAAAGAGUAUAAGCGGGCUAGGAAACAUGUAAAAGGGAUUUCAAUAAUUUACAUCAGGAGACUGCUUACAUCUUUAAAAUCCACAUCUUUGUCAUCAACAUAAAACAAGUCCCUGUGUCCAAGUGCUCUUCUGAACCGCAAAGGAUCCCCAGACCCAGAGGCAAAGCCAUAAAUUGGCUGUGGAAAGAGUAAUAAACAAAACCAAACUAAAAUCAAUGAUGCUUGAAAACUGGCCAGAAUACAUUGCACGAAGUUCUCUACCCAACUUCCAGCUGAGUAAAACAUUGAAACUUAUUAUUUAGUAGAGCAGCAAAAAUCAUGUGAACUCUAGAUUCAAUGAAAUCCAUGGAAAUCUAGAUCGGCACUUAUUAUCUAGAGAUACAAUUUCAGAGGACCAUAAGACUUACAAGAAUUGUAUCAAUAACUUGAAACUGAGAAUCCAAAAGUUGAAAGCUUAAGCACUCUUUUGUUAUCAACAAAGACCAAAUGAACCAUUUAUAUCACGCGCAUUAAAUAUCUCCAAAUUUGAAGAUUCUCAACUUCACUACAUGGACUAAUAGAAUUAAUAAAACAUUUUAGUAAAUCAAUAUGAUUGAUUGAAUUGAGUUGGAGGGGCCCAUGAUGGAAGACAAAGAACUUGUAGGCUUCAACAGAUACAGUUGGGCAAUAUGCUGAAUCACAACUCUGUAAUGGUGUCAGCAUAGUGCUAAUGCUACACAGUCAGGACACAUGCAUUCAAACAGAUAAGGAAUGCAUUACAUGGUCACAUAGCUGAAAUGAAAACAAUAUUUUGUGCAUUGACAAGUCUUUCAAUAAAGGGUCACUUUCAUAGUAAGUGAUUAAUCAUUUAGAAGUUAGUAACUAGAUCUAUGCGAAACGGAUGGUACAGAACCAAGUCAGUGUAGAUGAAGUUUAACAAGAUUUAUUUCAAGUGUUCAAUGGACAUCAAAAUAUGACUUAUUUGAUGAAAUGACAUUUAGAUAAGUUUACCACUCAUGAGUAAACAUGAUAGCACACUUCCCUAAAAGACUAUACGCAGCAAUGAUAUCAUCCACAAGCUAGAGUAAAGACUUGCUGUAAAAGCAGAAGAUAUAGAUGUUGUCCACUAAUCAAUAUCUGGCCCAGUAUGCCUAAUUGUGUAUCAAGCUAAUGCAUGCAUCUGGGGAUGGAAGACCCAAAUCAUUUACAAUAUUUAUCUCGGUCCUGGACAAGUACUAAGGCCAAUUCCUUUAACUUCCCAUUCAUUAAAAAAAAUUUAGAAUUAAAGCCAAGCUAGGAAAUGAAUAAAUGUUAUCAAGUCCUACUAAGGUAAAGUGGAUUUCACGAUGAAGACAAUUUUGAUAGCUGAGUAGAAGGUCCUGACGUCAAAAUAGUGGUACAGCUGAUAUUUUAAAGAAUAGCAGGACGUUAGGACCAUAAAAGCAGCAGCAUCCGAUUUUCAUCUUCCAUUGAGGUUUAGCUGGCUGCAAGAUCCAAAUCAAAAUUGAGAGGUUUACUAAUUAUAAUCUCAAACCAUAUUGUUCUGUUCAUGUUAUUGAUAAUUGCUAUGCAUGUUUUCUUAUAAAGAUAAAAGAAAAUCAUGAUAGAACUAACUGACUCUUUUUCGUUGUCCACACACAAACAAUCUACAAUAGUGUUGUUCUGUAUUAAUUCCUAGCACUGCAGAAUCUCCAUAACCAAUUAACUAUUUUACUCAACUCAUAAUGGAGGCAUCGUCUAGUCAAUAGUUGAUCGUCUGCUAUCAACGGGAGGUCAUAAUUUGCCAGAUUGCUAUAGUUCAUGGAACGUUUUGAAUCUGGAUCUGGAUUGCCACUUGAAGCUAGAGUUAGGUUUUUUCAGACUAUGCAGAUGCUAUGCAUUCAAAAACCAUAAAUCACGAUCAUAUUAUAAAAGAGAUCAUAGCUGUAUGCCCAGAGCUAAGAGCUAGAUGAAUAACCGCUGAACUAACUGCUGUCCACAAAACCUUAAACUAAGUUGAAAACAAAAACCUACUACCAAGGGGGUUAUUAAGCAGUCAAACAUCCCUAUGAAAUCCAAUGUGGGGAAUGAGAUAUUAUAUUCACUUCUUAAGACCUUGCACUCUCUCAACUGCCAAUUGAACGUCCAGAGUGGACUAGGUUGUGUAAGUAUUGUAGAGGUACUUAUAUGGGCUCUAGAAUAGGCUCCUAUCCUAAACCCUCAAGCAACAUAGCUUGCCAACACCACUCGCCCAGUCACUGCCAACACCAGAUUCACUUUAAAUGUCAAGUGUAACCAGAGGACAGGAUUGGUCCAAUAACUUUUGAAGCUAGACUAAAGCCCAAAAAUCUUAAACCAUGUUACCAGUACGUGAGCAGCCUAGAUUAAGAAAACAAACACCCUUAGGUAUUUGGCAUGAAACACAGAACUUUACACUCACUUUACCAUGAUCAAGUAUUAGAGACCGCCUUUAAGUGUAGUAGUUAUCACUAUAUGUAAUUCUGACAGCUAACACUCAGGGUAAUCAUUCCAAAAAUGUUGAAUAAAUUACAUUGGUUACUUUUUAUGGAAGACACACAUUAACAUGAGGUUUGCCACUUUAAUGUCCAUAUUUAGCAAUCUAAAAUUGCUAAUGAGACAUAUUCCUUUGUCCAAUAAUAAUUGUCAAUUCACUAUUUUGUUGAUAUCCCUGGUAACUUUUGGAGCACAUCAUUGUGCAACUCUCCGUGUGAAGAUCUUCUAUGGCAUGAAUAUCGUACAGCAAAUAUAACCAGCGUAGUAGAACCCUCUUUUCAUUUUAAUUUCUCAAUGACCCCAAAGAUCUCAUCAACCUUGCAUCACUUUUAUGAGUGUGCUUUUCAUGUAUAGUCUACCAAACUUGAGCCUGUGGUAAUUACUCGAUCGCCCACUAUUUCCGUCUUGCAAAAGUGCAUCAUAUGUCUCAGCAAAUUAAAUGAGUAUGACAACUACCAAUAAAAAUCAGAUGGAUGUGAGAUACAAAGAACUAGCACAUAUCAUGUCCAUGCAAAGCUGAAUUUUUUGCUAAAACUCUUCAAUUAUUAAAACCAGAUGCUCUAAUUCAUCAAUAAUGAAUCAUAGAAAUAACUAACUAACAUAAACUCGAGAAAUAAGUGGCCAAAUAUCAAAGCAUGAUCUAUUUAAAGGACUUGUCUAACCUACAUACAUAUGCAUCUUAGAGACAUCAAGAACCAACCUGAUACACUCUAAAUCUAACAACGAAUAUUCUUCACUUGCCUGGUACUUUAACAGAAUUCGGUUCUCACAGUUCCUUUACAUUGUGAUCUUCUUUUGAAGAUUCAUAACUCAUGCAUACCAACAACCACAUCAACAGACCUAUUCUUUUUAUAAUUGUCUAUAUACUUCUCUCAAUCUCACUGGCACAAGCCAAUAGAUACACAACCGAUGAGAGAGACAUACAAACACAAUCCAGUGUGCACAUUGAUCCUUCUUAAUUUUUAUUGUUUCCCAGGUUACUCCUACAAACAACAAAUCAAUUACCAAAUUAGACAACAUGAAUAUCUUCAAUUAAAUGCCGAGAAGGCCUUGGUCUAGUGGCUAAGGAUGAGGCCUCAGAACCUAUAGGUUCUGGGUUCAAAUCCCCCUUCCCCCUCCCCACUUCUUAAAUCCCAUCCCUUCCCUGCUGGAAAAAAAUUAGAAAAAUCUUCAAUUAAAUAAAGACAAAGGAUGACAGGAUAGAAAGAAAACCAAUUGUCUAUAAAGGCUGGAAGUAAAUCUAGAACCCCAAAUAUAUACUGCAGUACUCCUCAAACACAAAAGAGCUACUAAGAAGGCAAGUACAAAAUUAAUACUCAGUAGUAAACUUCUCUAUAAUACUUUUGAUCAAAUAUAACGACAAAAUAUACUGGAAUAAGUAAUCAUUCACUCUAGCAGUAGAACCAUGCAAAUCAAGUUAGAUCAGCUUCCGAGUGAGAUACUAAAAUCUUAUGAAUAAUUGGCAAGAAUUGAACAAGUCAUAAACCACGAUGUUGAUGAAUAUAUGACAAGGUAAAAUUAUUAUUCCACUAUCAUAGAUGUACUGAGGAUGGAAACUACCUCAACAUUCCGUAAUCUGAGUGCACUAUCAACAUCUUCCGUUGUCAACAAAUUUCUCUUGGAAUGGCGCAUGCAUUUGAUGGCUUCCUUCAAUUACAUGACAAGAAGCACAUUUAGAUUUCACUGAAACACGUUCUUCAACUUCGAAAGGCCUCACAUGAAUAAGUAAAGUCAGGGCCAUACUUCAGUUCACAACCCAAAAAACACAGAAUGAAACUAAUCUAGGGUUUACUUCGCCUAUCAUUUGCUCAUAAACAAAAAAGUCAUCACUAGCUUUACUGGACAUUUCUCACCACCAACUCAUGCCUGUCACCAUUUUGCAACUUGUUGCAUUUCACCAGUAUGACCACUAAAAUGUUUUAAAGAAUAGGCUAUACAAACCUCUUUCAUACCUAUUAGAAAACUACCAGACAAAAUCAUUUUGUAGGUUCAUGCAUGCACAAACUCCAAUGAGCAGCACGACAACCGGUCACCCAUCAAGAAAAGGGAGGGAAGAAAACACAAAGCUUUUACAUUAUCAAGGAGUUUGAUCUAUUACGAGACACAUAUCAAGUGGAUGUCUACAAAUGGAGAUGUGCCUCAGAAUAUGCACAUCAAAUGGCAAAAGUAUCAUAAAAGAUUAUAUUAAACUCUACAGUAGUGAUUUAUAUGAUGGGGUCCAAUUCACCAUGCUUAAUGAGUAAGGUGAACCAGAAAGAGAUAGAAGGGUAAUAGGACAUUUGCUUCAUGCCAUUUUUCCCUAGAGCCCGUGAAUCGACUCUUUAAUACAUUCACAGUUUUCAACUAGCAGCAAAGGAACAGGGUAGUGGUUAUUAUCUGUCAUGUUGGUAUAGCCAUGUCAACCUUAUACAUGGGAGAAAAGGAAAUGGAAGAAAUGACAAAAAAUGAGAAAGGAUCAGCAGCACAGGCCAGCACAUUUCCUUAAGCACCAAAACUUGGUUUUCCCUCCAUUUGCAGUAUUGACAGCUUUGUUUUCUACCAUCAACAAGCUUUACUUUCCUUGCUUUGUCAUCCCCAUAAAUUCAGUAACAUGGUAGCAUCUCUUCUACUACAGUCAUUAAAGGAAAAAAGGCCACAAAUUCAGUGAAAACCUAAACGUCAUCUCUUUCUUCCUUCUUGCAUCUCGCACAAUACACAAAUCUUGUUUAUUUGUAGGUCUCUGCAUAUUAACGUAUGUAAUCUACUUACACAUCUACAGUCCAUGAUUUCUCAGUCAAGAAUUCUAGUCACUAACCUAUUGUAACAAAGCUUAUAUUUUGCAUACAAUUGACGUCAAAAAAAUGAUUAACAACCCAAAAUCAGAAAUUUAAAUGCAGAAAGCGCAUCAAAAUCAAUAACAUAUUUAAUCAAACACGACUAGUUUUCUCUAAAUUAACACACAUGUAAAUAAAAAUUUUUUUAAAAAAAAAAAGAAGUGCAAGAAACUUCUUCAGAUAUUAAUCAGUCAUUUCCUCUUUUCUUUCCUUUUCAUUAUUCCCAACUUUUCCCAACAUUUCCAUGCAGCAGAAACAGAGACACCCACAACAUCUUCAUGCCAUAUACAGCUUAAAUUCCUAAUUAGGCAGAAAAAAAAAAAAAAAACUAAACAAAAAAGUGAAGCCCAGAAAACAAAUUUAAGGAAAAAGACCUGCAUGAUUUCGCGCAAGCGGUAUUCGACAUCAGGAGCAAGAGCAAGGGCAGCAUCUGGGGACAAGUUGUUUAUCCCAAUGCUUUGCGCAGUGACUUCAAUCGUCUCCUUUGGAACUAUACUCAUCCUUUCCCUUAUCCCUUUUUUCUAAUUACUCAAAAAUUUUGAACUGCAUUUAUGAAUUUCUGUUCAAGAAGAUACAGAGUUGAGGCUUUGGAGGAGAAAGAAAUUGCAAAGGGUUCAGUGAAGCAAUCUUCCAAUCGUCUCGUUAGUCUGUGAGAAGUUUAAUUAAGGGGCCGUUAAUUGCACUGCUUUGGACCUUGAACUAAUUGCGAUUAGCAUUUUGCGUCUUCAAAUAUCAACUAGAAUUUUGACCGACGGUCUUUUUUUUUUAUUAUUAUGAAUUUAUAUAAAUAUAAAUAAUUUAAAUAUAAAAGUUAAUAACAAUUCUACAUGUUCAUCUACAUUAAUUUUAAAAAAUUAAUGUAUUCUAAAUGUUCAAUUAUUUACUAAUUUUUAAAAAUUUGUUUACAUACUUUCACUAUAAUAUGAUAGUAUAAAUCAAAUCAUGUAUCCUAUAUAAAAAAUUUGGUAGAUUUUUUUUACAUAUAUUCUUUUAAAUAAUUUAAAUUUUUAUAAUGAUCAUAAAUCUAGAACUAUUUAUUCAUAUUUAAUUAAGUAGAAAAAAUCUAGCAAUUCAUUUUUCUUCAUCAAUAAAUAUUCAGUUUCCAACAAUAUUGGUAAAUCUAUUAGUGCAACAGUUAAUUUUCAUUUUUACACUAAAUUAAUUCAAAAUUAAAGGAAGAAAUGAUGAACAAUUUGAAUAUUAAUUAACGGUGUGGUGAUGAAAGGAAGUAAUUUAGAAUAUGUAAGAUUUCAAUAAUUGUGAUUAAGGAAGUAAUUUGGGAUAUAUAAGAUUUCAAUAAUUGUGAUUUGAAAAAGGUUUUACUAGAGUUUUAUAUGUAAUAAUUUGAUAGAAUAAGAUAAGAUUAGUUGUUUUUUAAAAUAAUAUCUUUAAAAUAAAAUUAGUUAUUUUUAAAGUUAUUUUAAAAUUAGAAAUAAUUUUUAAACAUAUAAUAUAAUCCAAUUAGGAUUUAAUAUAAGUAAAACCCAAGUGACUUAUAACCCAUUAAUUCUUUUCAAUUAAACAUACCACGUAGGAGUGAAAAAUAAUUCUAAUUAAAAUAGCUACUUUUAUACAUACAUAUAUAUAUAUAUAUAUAUAUAUAUAUAUAUAUAUAUAUAUAUAUAUAUAUAUAUAUAUAUAUAUUAUAGCAUUAUGACCUCCCCCAAAUAUUUUUGUGAAGUAGUUCAUUUACGUAAAUAGGAAACUACAUUUCGUUGGCCUAUUUGGAGGCGGAGGAAGUUAAGAGAUGGUCUUUCCACAUAUAUUAGGAGGCAUAAACUACGCGUUACGUGGUGAGAUGGUAGUGUGCCCUGCCCUGUUUGAAAUAAAGUGCAUAAAGUGCAAAAGCAAAUACGCAAAAGAAUAAAGAAAAACUAUACUUUGUGGUAACCAUUGCUUCAUACAGAAAUCAAAUGCAAAACAAACUUUCAGAACUAUAUAUUAGUUACAAAAAAGGAGGCAUUAAAGCAAAGAAAUAAAUACUAGAGAAAUUCAUUUUCAAUGAUUUAACAGCCUUUUGUUCACAAGGCUACAUAAUUAUAGCCAUUUCUUAGACAUCAAAUGUGUGAUGCCACGGAUACAUUUUCUCAACUCCAUUGUUGUCAAAAAUUAUAACAAUAAAAGAAAUAGAAGGCUAUGAAAUAAAAACAAGCGCUUUGCUUCUUCAACACUAUGCUCAACUACAAAGGCAUUCCAUUUCUCGUGGAGCUUUUUGCUAGAUAGUCCAAUGUAGUAAGUUUUAGUUCCACUGCUAAAAACAAUUAAUGGAGUGCGCUUUUCUUCUAAUUUGAAAGUAGUAAACUCUGGAAUUUUCUACAAGCAAACAAUGUGUAAGGCUUGAUCAUCAAACAAGAAACUCAUAGAUGUAUAUCAAAUUGACACAAGCAAACUCUAUACCAUCUUAUACUUUGAAGAAAAAAUUUGAUAGAAAGUGUCGCAGUCCAUCACAUCAUGAUGUAAGAAUCUAUUUAUAGAUGAGAUAACCAUCAUAGAGAUCUCAUUUUCAAGAAUGCCACUUGGUUCAUGAGAAAGCAUUGGAAGAAGAUCCGUGCACCUCAAAUAGAUAAGUUGCAGUGAAGUAUAAAAUCCCAUUCCAUCAUAUGUGAAAUUCCCUCUAUUACAGAGAAAUAUCAUGUGAUCCUUCUUUAUCAAAGUGUCUUUGCAGUAGACGCUCCUUCUUUCAUCAAAGUUUCCAUCCUUUAUAGUUAAAUUCCAAUGAGAAAUGCUAUGACAAAUUGUGAUGAUUUUAUCAUUAUGGAAUCCAUUUGAGUCAUAGAUUACAGAUGGAACUUUCUGUUGCAUGAUAGUAAGAUUAGAUGUAGUUUCAGAUUAACAAGUGAAGCUAAGGUUAGAAUGAGAACUUGUUUGCUUGUAUUUGUAUAAAAUAUUAUAUAACACCAUGGCUUCCCCUCAAUGCCUUCUCCAGUUUUACUUGUUUCAAUACUACAACAGCAUUACAAAAAGAAUAACAUUAUGGCUUAAGUGUAUACAGAAUGUAGUUGGUGCAUAUUUGAGAUAAAUACAAAGUACCUUGAGCUUUAAACGUAGAACUAAUAUGGAGGAUGUUUUGUAACCAUUGCUGAAUUGAUUCAACUGAGUACAAAAAUGGUUCUCCCAAGUAUUCUAAUAACAUAGGAUAUUCGUCAAAAAGCUUUCGCUUAGCAUAGUAUAUUGGUUUUUCAUUUGCUUUCAUAACAGUAGUUGUUGCAUGAACUUGACGAUUUAUGUGUGCACAAAGAUAGAAUCGAAUCUUUUCAUUUUCUUGAAUAGCUUCCCAUUUUUUAAAUGGAUUUUGUGGUUUAUACAUUCCUUACAAGAGACCCUUAAAGCACAAUAAGUAUUGCAAGAAAAUGAAUUUACUAUCAACACAAAUUUGCUGCUGAAAAGAAAUAUGUUAUAGAGGAAUGUGAUGCUAGAAAAUAAAGAAUGAAAGAACUAAGACUUUUCAUUGAAAGAGUGUGCAAAGGAUUUAUAUACCAGAAAAUUCUCAUUUGAUAUAUACAUGUAGAUAAAUGACAUUAAUAUGACAGGCAUUGUGACAGUGGAGUAUGGAUGUAAAUGAAUAAAUUUGCCAUAAAGGCUCUGUUCUAUUGCUCAUUUGAACACAAUUGAAGUGACAAGAUGCAGCUUCAUUACUUCUGUUUAUAAUAAACUGAUGAUGCUACAGACAUACUGAUUAUUUAAUUGCUAGCUAAAGAGGAAAAAGGUAGAUGGUGGUUGUAUUCUGAUUUAGAGUGCUUCAAAUGAUCACAAAAAAUCAAAUAGUAUUUUUUCUUUUUACAUUUUGUUGUAUAGACACUUGUAGACAAUGGAAUUUUAAUUAAUUUUUAAAAUUACCAUUGGUCUAUAAAUUAUUUUUGUGGCUUAUUUCUAUCCAAUUGGGUAUUGCCAUAUGUCAUGUACACUUGGAAGAUUUGGUUAUUAAAUGGCCAAUUAUAUUUUGCCACGUGUCAAGUUGAGGUGUUCCAAAUCAAUUCAAAUUGCAGGAAUAUCUCCACCAACCAAAUCAUAUCAUGUCACAUGUCUAUUGGAUAAAUAUCUAAAUAUUUAUUUCUUAUUAAAGGGAUAAUAUUUAGAGUUAUUUAAUCCAAGUAUAUUUCUUAUAUACUGCAAUAGCUUGGCCAGUCAAACGGCGCCACGUCACGUGUCCCCACGAGUUUGGCCAAUCGAUGAAUUACUUAUCUCUUUAUUAAUAAAUAUAAAAUGAAGAGAUAAUAUUUGACUGGCACAGUCCUAAUAUGACUGCACGUCUUGUAAGACAAGUAAAGUGGUACACAAGUCUUCAGCCUCUACCUUUUGCUACAGCUAUAAAUAAGGAUUUCUCUACCAAGUCAGAUACACAGAAACACCAAGAGGCAUCUCACACGCUCAAAGCAUUGAAGCUCCAAGCUACAAAGGUCCGGAUCUUCAAGCUCUCCAAGUCUCCCAUAAAUCAAGACUUGAGUCUUCAAAUAUCUUCAAAAGUUCUUCAAAUCUUCUAUAUCAAGAUUUGAAGGAAUCGGUGGUGGAUCCAAGAACAAGCUGUGAAACCCUUGGAUUGGCGUUCGAGGAGGAGAAUCGAGGGAAACUCUCCACAAGUUCGAGAAAAACCCAGAGAUUGUACUCACAUAUUUUUCUUAAAUUUAUAUAUCACAUAUUUGUCGUGUAUAUUUCUUGUUUCUGCAUAUUUUAAAUUUUAUCGCGUACAACACUUAAGGCAAUAAACAUGAUUUAUGAUGCCAUUAAGCAUGCUUGUAUGAGAAUAUGAAGACUAAACACUGAAGAAAAUGAGCAAAUUGUAAUAAAUUGAUUAGGGACAAGAAGAUACAAAUUAUAACUUUGUGCAUCUAUUCAAAGAUACUGAUUUGCCGGCUAAUUAAUAUUGGGCCAAAGGAAAAAAAAUAGUCCAUUAAUUUGAAAAAGGUAGCUUUAUUUUUCUAUGUUGAUUCAGGAUAGCACUACUGCUAAAGUUAUUGAAAUAAUGACUUUUUUUGAAGAAAAAAAAAAAGAAAAUGAAAGGCAAACCACAUAAAAGAUAGCAGAGUUUCCUGCAAUGAUUUAACAUCCAUGGUAUUUAACUACACAAAUUAGACUAUCGAAAUUUGACCUAAAAGAUGGCAUUUCUCAGAGUACUAGUCUACCAUAAUUAAUUGAUGAGCCAUUUUGAAGAGCCACAACACUUGUGUGAGCAUAUUUCCUCUCCAUGAUUAAAAGUAUAAGAAUUUAGUAUUAGCAUGUGUCGCGCCCCAUUUUAAAAAAAAAAAAAAUUAUGAGUUGUAAAAAUGAAUUUUUUGAUUAAUUUUGAGUGAAAAUGAGUUUUUGAUUUUUAGAGAAUAAAUAAAAAAAAAGGGCCUAAAAUGAGACUUAAAAAGUGCGACGGUUUUGACCCAAAAUAAUAGUCUAAAAAGGGUUUUUAAAACAAAUAGGAGUCGCCACUUGUUAUUGAGUUAAGGUGUACCAAGUCACCUAAAGACGAAUUUUUAAAUAAAAAAUAGAGAAAACCUUUUUUAGACGACUCCAAGUCUUCAAAACACAAGAGAAAAGGGCUCAGGAGUCACGGUUGAAAAAAGAGAAGGUAAGGAUAAAAUCCAAUGCACCUUUUCAAUCUAGCCAAGACUAGUUGCAUGAUUUAGUCAAAUUUUUUUUUAAUUUAACCUAUAAAACUUAUCACAUUUGGAUGUUACUAUAUGGAUGCAAAUCUAAACCUAAUGGAUAUCAGGAGGGUCAAAAUAUUUUUUCAAAGUUUAAUUGGUACGAAUCACAUUAAUUGUGAUGCCCAAAAUGAUUUUUAGAAAAUGUCACGAAUAUGCAAAGAGUGAGACUCAAAGAAAAGAAAAAUUAUAAUAUAUAAGUAUACGUGACCUAAAAGAGGAAUGCAACAUAACGGGUACGGAGGACUAAUAUUUGUGACUCAAUUUUCCUUUUUAUAGAGAAGAUACGAGCAUGCUAAAGCUAAGAAGCCAUACUCGUCCAUUUCCCAUAUUUGAAGGGUAACUCUCCUAAUCCUAGUCAAGCAAAUGAACUAACCUAUGUCUAAUUUCCUAAAAUGGAAUGCAAGUCUAAAUGUUAUCUUUCGCACAUAGGGAUAAGAGAUAUACAUAUAGAAGAAAUAUCAUGCAAAAUGGUAAGGAUCCUAAAAAGUAGAAAAUAUGCAUGAAAUGUAGUGAUUGUCACGCAAACAUGAUCUAGCGCGUAGACGGUUCCUAAGAAUCUAGCAUUGGAUUAGCCCAUGUCUAUAAGUUUUCACUAGCGUUGGACUAGUGAGUAAUCGGGGGGAAAAACCAUAACUAGCGUUGGACUAGUGUGGUGACGUCAUACAUUUAUUAUAACUAAAUAAAUCAUAUAAAGUAUAAUUAAACCAAGUAAACACAUAAUGCACAUAACACGUAGGCAUGAUAUCUAGAUGCAAAGGCCCUAAAGAAAGCGAAUAAACACAUAAGCACACAAGCAUGCAAGCACACAAACAAAUAGACGCAAAUAAAAGCCUAAUUAUUACAUUCGGGGCUCUAACUACAAUCUAAGGGGGGGAAAUUAGAAUAAUAAUAACCUAACUAUUACAUUUAUCUAACUAAUUACAUUUUGGCAAAAUUAAAACCUAUCUAUUACAUAGCCUAACUAAAUAUAUGUCUUGAACUCCUAUCUAUUAUAAUUUGGCAUUUAAAUGCCUCACAAAUAAUUAUCAAAAUUAAAUAAAACAAAUGAAACUUAUAAUGAAUAAAAAUGAAUAAUAACGAAUAAAAGAAAAAAAAUUCAAAACAUGCAAUUGCACAUAAAACACAUUGGAGCACAUAAAAGAAUUUAAAAUAAUAAAAGAGAUUACCUCUCUCGAAGUUGUGGUUAAGUGGGAUGAAAUUUGCCAUAAUUAUGCUCCAAAAUCAACAAAAUAAUUUAGGCACCAAUUUAAUUAUAAAUAAAUGGAAAUAACCAUGAAAUCUACCAAUUAAAGCACUUAAAUGAAGUAGAAUUAACAAUUAAAGAAGAAAGGUAACUUAUAUUUAAGAAAUCAAAACUAUUAGGGACUUAAUUGCAAAAAUUAAGAAAGUUUUGGAGGUCAAAUUACAAUUAUUACAAAAUUUAUGGUUUAAAAUGAAAGAAAAAUAAAGUUUAAAGACCAAAUUGAAAUUAAAAAUAGGGACCUAAUAGAAAUAAAUCUAAAGUUUUUAGGGCCAUAAUAUAAUUACAGAAAGGUAUAGGGACUAAUUUGAAAUUUCGUUACCAGAUUACUUGAGCAGAAGGCCAUUGGACCAUUUUCAGCAUUUCUUUGGGCUAAAGGCCACUUGGCCCGACAGAAAGCCCUAAGAAAAAAGAAUAGGCUAAGCCUACUCCUUUUACCAAAUCAGCUCAAUAACAUUGCAUGGGCUUUCAUUCUCAAGUCCAAGCCAAAAAUCCAGAAAAAAUAAACCAACAACCCAUUACCCUAAACCCAAACAAAAUAACCUUCUACCCAAACCAACCUGUUUUUAUUAAGACCUAACAUGAUAAAAGAUAUCAACUAAAAAUUACUUAACCAUAAUUAUGUCCUAAAAUCCAGAACUAAUCUAUCAAAAAACAUGCUCAAAAUAUAAGAAAAAAAUUGAAUUUUAAAAGGGUAAAAUUGAUUGAUUUUUCCAAUUUUUGGGCCAUAUUAGAAUUAACUAAAAGUUAAGGGGCCAAAACGAAAAUUUCAAAAGUUUUCAUGCAGCCUUGUACGAAGAAGCUUUCUCCUUUCUGCAAAUUCGGAAGCUUUCUUGCUGGAGUUUUCUUAGCAGCUUAUUCAACACAAGUAUUCAUGCAAAACUCAAACAGAAUCUCUGAAUUUAUCAGCUAAAACCCAACAAGAAUCCCAAUCCAACAAGAAAAUAACAGAAAAACAUGAAAUUAAAGGCUCAAAAUCCCCUCUUCCUUUAGAUUCACAAGUAGAAAGAAAAGCAACCGGCUUUUAUCCAUGGGUUCCAAACAAAACCCGAAAUGUAACUUUGAUUGCGAACCACAGAGCUUACACAUCCACAUUUACUUCCAAAAUUUUGUCAUCUUCUAUUCAAACUAGAUGUAUCAGACCCAACAAAAACAUAGAACCCGUACUAUAAACCCAUGAAAGCAUAAUCUGAGAAAAUGUUCUCUUUUGAUGAGUUAAAGAUUUUUCCUUUGUGGAUUGCAGCAAGCAAAGGAAAGAUUAAGAGUUACCUUCGAUGUUUACAGACAGAGAAAUUGAGAAAAGUGGAAUUCAAAGCUCAAAUCUGGAAGCCAGGAACUUUGUUGCAGAAACUUUAAGAAUGAUAAAGGUAACAGGUUCAAGCCCGGAUUUGGAGAUGUUGCAGAGGUUUUUUCUAAAAAAUUCCAACACAAAAUCUUCUCCUCGAUCAACUUAGAUUUCCCAGAAAAAGAAAUCUUCCCACGAGAAGCUCUAGGGGGAUCGAAAUGAAGCAGGGAAAGUGACUGAAUCACCAACCCUGGCUCAGUUUUUCUAAAAGAUUUUUCCUGCACUUUUUCUUCCUCUUUUCUCUCGUUUUCUCUCUUUCUUUGCUGUUUUUCUCUCCUUUUGAUCUCUCCGCCACCCCUCUUCUCUACCCC